AUAUAGAACAGUUAGCAAUCUUAGCAUACAUAACCGUUCUUUUUUUUUUUUUUUUUUUUUUUGCACAUAUAAAAAUAAAUUUAUUUAAUUAAUUGAAUGAGAUGGAAAGGUGGUCUUUGGUCCGUUGUGUAUCUUUUAUCCAUCCACUCUAUAAUUCAAUGCUUCCCAAAAUUUUGAACAUCCCGCCUCAAAGACAAUUUUCGCUUAUAUAAUCUUAAAUUAUUUAACCUAGCUAAAACUCAAGCCCUUCAUAACCGCACAAAAGGUGAACCUAACUUUCACCUUGUGAUCUCCUUCUCUCUCUUUACCUCUUGAUCUUCUACUCUCUCUUUCUCCCCUUUCUUUGCUUUCUAUUGAAAUACUAUACAUUUUUAAUCAAUUUCCUUGUCAAUUAUUCUAAUUUGAUAUCUCAACAUUUUUAUGAUUUACAGAGAGCUAUAGUAUUAGUUCAAAAGCAAGUUUAUUGUCUAAUUCCGAUAUCCGCUGCCAUUGAUGAAUUUCGUAGAUGAGUUAUUGAUGCGGCUUAUGUGAUUUGUGCGAUUGACGAUAAUUACGGCGAAGGACUUUGAAGAACAGACGUGUUUGGAGCUGUGAAGCCAGUUAUUUCAAUAAAUUUUAGUUUUAUCAAAUCAAAGUCAUUCACUUUCUUUUUUAUUUUUUUUAUCUAGCUUAUGGUUUUUUUAUUUUUGUGACUUGUAAAUUUACCAUUCGAUUAAUUUGAUAUAAUGGUAUAUAUGGUUUCUAUA